UUAAUCGUCAACACAAGCGGUCACCAUAAACCACUGCUCGCCAGAGAAGUACAAGUGAAAAACUGGAAACUCAAAGGACUUGGCGGUGUCCCACAUCAACCUAGAGGAGCCUGUCCCAUAAUCGAUACCCCACGCUAAACCUAACCUGCUUUUGCCAAUCAGCCUAUAUACCGCCGUCGCCAGCCUGCCUAAUGAUAGACCCAUAGCAGGCACAACUAACCCCCUUAAACACGUCAGGUCAAGGUGUAGCUAAUAAGCAGGUGUCAGAUGGGCUACAUUUUCUAAACAUAAGAAAACCACUACAAGCACUAUGAAACAUAGGCUGAAAGGCGGAUUUAGUAGUAAGUCGGGCAAGAUAGGCCUGACUGAAAACUGCCCUGGGACAC
rnacentral:rRNA from 1 species